ACCUAUAAGACUGGGAUAACUUCGGGAAACCGGAGCUAAUACCGGAUAAUAUUUUGAACCGCAUGGUUCAAAAGUGAAAGACGGUCUUGCUGUCACUUAUAGAUGGAUCCGCGCUGCAUUAGCUAGUUGGUAAGGUAACGGCUUACCAAGGCAACGAUGCAUAGCCGACCUGAGAGGGUGAUCGGCCACACUGGAACUGAGACACGGUCCAGACUCCUACGGGAGGCAGCAGUAGGGAAUCUUCCGCAAUGGGCGAAAGCCUGACGGAGCAACGCCGCGUGAGUGAUGAAGGUCUUCGGAUCGUAAAACUCUGUUAUUAGGGAAGAACAUAUGUGUAAGUAACUGUGCACAUCUUGACGGUACCUAAUCAGAAAGCCACGGCUAACUACGUGCCAGCAGCCGCGGUAAUACGUAGGUGGCAAGCGUUAUCCGGAAUUAUUGGGCGUAAAGCGCGCGUAGGCGGUUUUUUAAGUCUGAUGUGAAAGCCCACGGCUCAACCGUGGAGGGUCAUUGGAAACUGGAAUACUUGAGUGCUGAAGAGGAAAGUGGAAUU
rnacentral:rRNA from 1 species